rnacentral:lncRNA from 1 species
GAAAAGUGUGGCUAAAAUGAGAGCUGCUAGAGUGAAAAAGGCUGCAGGGAUAGGACCCUCAAAACCCUGGAGCAAGGUUGAGGUUGGGAAAAGGAAAGAAAGAGAUAUGAGAGCUGCUAGAGUGAAAAAGGCUGCAGGGAUAGGACCCUCAAAACCCUGGAGCAAGGUUGAGGUUGGGAAAAGGAAAGAAAGAGACAGCUCUGACUCUGAGGAGGAUGUUAAAGACGAUGUCCUAGACAUCUCCCCUGCAAAAAGGCAGGUUGUUCAGAAAUCUCUUGGCAAGGCUGCUGCUGUACACCUAGACAAUAUCUCCUUUCAC